GAGGUAACUCUGUGUAUAUCUUCUUUUUAGAAUAUCAUCGAACGAAUAUUACAAUUACACUGACAGCGCUGAGAGAUGCGUCGCCACCGGAGUUAGAGAAAAAUCAAUACGGCAAUAAUUCUCCGGAAUUUCAUUAUUGGUCGUCGUCGUUUCUAUAAAAAUAAAGAUUGUAAUUGGACCAGUGGGUAUAAGUGGUCAACAGCCUUUAUAUUAAGAAGAUCUACUAACCACAGAAGAUGAAAAACCCGAAACUUAUAAAAGAAUUUGACAGUCGUAUACCAAAAGGCCAUGGCAAGUUUCGACCGGAUUUACAUGAUCCAUGGUUACGUGAUGUAAUAGUUAUUGGCGAGAAAAUAUUCAUAACCGAUUUUGGAAAUAUGGCUGUGAAUGUUUAUGAUAUGGACGGAGUGCCUAUAGCACAGAAAAGAUUAGACGGACCUCCAAAUAGUAUCACGCAAGUGAAAGCGGAUACUAUUGCUGUUACUAUUCCGUUCGAUGACGACCCAGCCGUAAUGCUUCUGGAUAUAACCGACCUUAAACUCACGCUACAGACCUGCCUGCAGACUGAGUAUACGUACAGGGGAAUUGCUAAACUUGAUGAUUCAUCUAUGGUUGUUAGUACCGCUUGGUGGAAUGGGCUCGGCCAGGCUUUCAUAAUAUCGCACGACGGAACAGUUGUCAAGUCGUACGGUCAUCCGACGGAGGGAGAAAAGAAAGCGUUGACGCAAUGCGCCACGUUUCUGUGUUGUUCGC